rnacentral:tRNA from 1 species
AGCGGAUUAGGAUAAAUUUUAAGUCUAGUUGACUCAUAAUCAACAGGUUAAUUCGUUU